rnacentral:rRNA from 1 species
AAUGUAUAGCAAUAGCUACUUGCAUCAUUGUAAAUAUGAUGCAAGAUCGACUAUGUCGAAUAAAAUUCUAGGUAGAAUUAUGAUAAUGACAUUGUCUGCCUAGGUGUCUUGACCAAAUUACGUGCCAGCAGUCGCGGUAAUACGUAAAAGACUAGUGUUAUUCAUGUUUAAUCGGUUUAAAGGGUACCUAGACGGUAAAUCAAGCCUAAAAGGAAAUAAAUGAAGGGACUAAUUUACUAGAGUUACUUAUGAGGGGGUAUUAAAGUACUGCUGGUGUAGAGAUGAAAUUCUGUCAUACCUCUUUUCAAUAGAAAAAUAAUGGCACAGGUAUAGGCGAAAGCAUCCCCUUAUGUGAUAACUGACGUUGAGGGACGAAGGCUUUGUGUAGCGAACAGGAUUAGAUACCCCAGUAGUCAAAGCAGAAAAUGAUGAAUGUCAUAGAUUANAUAUAUAAGUUUAUUCUAUAAAUGAAAGUGUAAGCAUUCCACCUCAAGAGUAAUUUGGCAACAUUGGAACUGAAAUCAUUAGACCGUUUCUGAAACCAGUAGUGAAGUAUGUUGUUUAAUUUGAUGAUCCGCAAAAAACCUUACCACAAUUUGAAUAUUUAUAUCUUUUAUUGUUUUUCUUUUUAACUUUCUUCUUAUUUUCUACUUAAAAGAAAACAAUUACAAGAAAAAAGAGGCAAUAAGAUAUAUUUACAAGCGUUGCACGGCUGUCUUCAGUUAAUGUCGCGAGACUAUGGUUAGUUCCAUUAAAUUAACGUAAACCCUUACUUUAUUUUUAUAUAGAGUAGUUCCCCGCUAUAUUGGAUAUGAUAACAGG